GGGCCCGUAGCUCAGGGGUUAGAGCGGCAGCCUUUUAAGCUGCGCGUCGGAGGUUCGAUUCCUCCCGGGCUCA
rnacentral:tRNA from 1 species